UUCUCUGAGAUGUUUGCCAGCGGGCCAGUCCCCUGAGCCGAUAUUUAGUACCAAAAAGAGUGUGGCGCUCUUAACCUGUGCGCAUGCCCGGCCUGUCCGGGAAGCCUGAUGGUUAUGACGGUAUGCUCACCUUGAACCAAGGGUUCAAGGGUUACAGCCUGCGACGGCAUCUCGGAGAU
rnacentral:other from 1 species